UACGUAGGGUGCGAGCGUUAAUCGGAAUUACUGGGCGUAAAGCGUGCGCAGGCGGUUUCGUAAGACAGAUGUGAAAUCCCCGGGCUUAACCUGGGAACUGCGUUUGUGACUGCGAGACUCGAGUGUGGCAGAGGGGGGUGGAAUUCCACGUGUAGCAGUGAAAUGCGUAGAGAUGUGGAGGAACACCGAUGGCGAAGGCAGCCCCCUGGGUUAACACUGACGCUCAUGCACGAAAGCGUGGGUAGCAAACAGG
rnacentral:rRNA from 1 species